AUCUUGAGAGCGGCGCACGGGUGCGGAACACGUGUGCAACCUGCCUUUAUCUGGGGGAUAGCCUUUCGAAAGGAAGAUUAAUACCCCAUAAUAUAUUGAGUGGCAUCACUUGAUAUUGAAAACUCCGGUGGAUAGAGAUGGGCACGCGCAAGAUUAGAUAGUUGGUGAGGUAACGGCUCACCAAGUCAAUGAUCUUUAGGGGGCCUGAGAGGGUGAUCCCCCACACUGGUACUGAGACACGGACCAGACUCCUACGGGAGGCAGCAGUGAGGAAUAUUGGACAAUGGGUGAGAGCCUGAUCCAGCCAUCCCGCGUGAAGGACGACUGCCCUAUGGGUUGUAAACUUCUUUUAUACUGGGAUAAACCUACCCUUCGUGAGGGUAGCUGAAGGUACAGUAUGAAUAAGCACCGGCUAACUCCGUGCCAGCAGCCGCGGUAAUACGGAGGGUGCAAGCGUUAUCCGGAUUUAUUGGGUUUAAAGGGUCCGUAGGCGGACUCGUAAGUCAGUGGUGAAAUCUCAUAGCUUAACUAUGAAACUGCCAUUGAUACUGCGGGUCUUGAGUAAAGUAGAAGUGGCUGGAAUAAGUAGUGUAGCGGUGAAAUGCAUAGAUAUUACUUAGAACACCAAUUGCGAAGGCAGGUCACUAUGUUUUAACUGACGCUGAUGGACGAAAGCGUGGGGAGCGAACAGGAUUAGAUACCCUGGUAGUCCACGCCGUAAACGAUGCUAACUCGUUUUUGGGUUUUCGGAUUCAGAGACUAAGCGAAAGUGAUAAGUUAGCCACCUGGGGAGUACGUUCGCAAGAAUGAAACUCAAAGGAAUUGACGGGGGCCCGCACAAGCGGUGGAUUAUGUGGUUUAAUUCGAUGAUACGCGAGGAACCUUACCAAGGCUUAAAUGGGAAUUGACAGGUUUAGAAAUAGAUCCUUCUUCGGACAAUUUUCAAGGUGCUGCAUGGUUGUCGUCAGCUCGUGCCGUGAGGUGUUAGGUUAAGUCCUGCAACGAGCGCAACCCCUGUCACUAGUUGCCAUCAUUCAGUUGGGGACUCUAGUGAGACUGCCUACGCAAGUAGAGAGGAAGGUGGGGAUGACGUCAAAUCAUCACGGCCCUUACGCCUUGGGCCACACACGUAAUACAAUGGCCGGUACAGAGGGCAGCUACUAUGCGAAUAGAUGCGAAUCUCGAAAGCCGGUCUCAGUUCGGAUUGGA
rnacentral:rRNA from 1 species